UAAUUGAAGAGUUUGAUCAUGGCUCAGAUUGAACGCUGGCGGCAGGCCUAACACAUGCAAGUCGAGCGGCAGCGGGGAGUAGCUUGCUACUCUGCCGGCGAGCGG
rnacentral:rRNA from 1 species